UACGGAGGAUGCAAGCGUUAUCCGGAAUGAUUGGGCGUAAAGCGUCCGCAGGUGGCUAUGUAAGUCUGCUGUUAAAGAGUGAGGCUCAACCUCAUAAGAGCAGUGGAAACUACAAGGCUAGAGUACGUUCGGGGCAGAGGGAAUUCCUGGUGUAGCGGUGAAAUGCGUAGAGAUCAGGAAGAACACCAGUGGCGAAGGCGCUCUGCUAGGCCGUAACUGACACUGAGGGACGAAAGCUAGGGGAGCGAAUGGG
rnacentral:rRNA from 1 species